UACGUAGGGUGCGAGCGUUGUCCGGAAUUAUUGGGCGUAAAGAGCUCGUAGGCGGUUUGUCACGUCUGCUGUGAAAUCCCGAGGCUCAACCUCGGGCCUGCAGUGGGUACGGGCAGACUGGAGUGCGGUAGGGGUGACUGGAAUUCCUGGUGUAGCGGUGGAAUGCGCAGAUAUCAGGAGGAACACCGAUGGCGAAGGCAGGUCACUGGGCCGCAACUGACGCUGAGGAGCGAAAGCAUGGGGAGCGAACAGG
rnacentral:rRNA from 1 species